rnacentral:snRNA from 1 species
GGACCACGCGCUGAGGAUAAGCU